UUUACCUAGACAUGAUUUUUGAUCUAGAUAAGGUAAAAUAAUAAAAGAAACCAAAGAGGUUAGGUAAGACUUAGACAAGAGGUCUUUAUAAUUCAAACUUUUUUC